rnacentral:lncRNA from 1 species
UUUCCAUUUUGUAUUUUUUUAAAGAUUUAUCUAUCUAUUUGUUUAUUUACUUACUUAUUUAAUGUAUGUGAGUAUAUGGUUGUUCUCUUCAGACAUACAAGAAGAGUGUAUUAGAUCCUAUUACAGAUGGUUGUGAGCCACCAUGUGGUUGCUGGGAAUUGAACUCAGGACCUCUGGAAGUGCAGCCAGUACUCUUAACCACUGAGCCAUCUACCCUGCCCCUGAAUACUUUUUACAUUUAAAAAAAAUCCAAAUUUUUAGAUAUGAAAAAGUCAUUAAUCUCUGAUUUUAUUGCCUUAUAGUUGGGCAAUGUUAUCUCUAUAUUUUUAACCUUUGAAAGUUAGCAAAUUUUUUUAGUGCCCUAUUAUUUAAUCAAGCUUCAUGAAUUUCUAUGUUCACUUGAAAAGAAGAUAAAUUCACAUUUAUAGAGGUACAGUAUUCAACAACGUUUUUUAAAACUUCUAGUCUUGCUUCACUCUAGUGAAGUGCAUAGAACACUGAAGAUAGAGACCCACUGAAAGAGACCUGAGAGGAACAAGAAACCUCUGGAAGAAAAUGGCUCCCACCACUGCUCUCCUUCACAAACAACCAAAAACCAUGUUUAGAGAAGUUUCACAAGUGCAUCCAGGGAAAGCUCAAAAAGGAUUCACACCUACAAACAAAACAGAAGGGGCUUCACCGCUAAAGAAGCGCCCACCUCCAAUGCUAAGAAACACAGUGACCAAGGUCUCCUAGCAGGGAGAAAGAGCAUGAAACUGCCUUUGCUCCUUCCUGUGAGUCACCCUCUUUUACUGAGAAGGGACAGAAUGCUACGUGCUAAAGCUGCACAGACUUUGGUGUAGCUUCAGUUUUUCCACCUAUGAUAAGACAUGGUAUUCCAUGGGACUCUGAUAGCAGAUGCAGUAAACAGAUGUGUUCCAACACAGAAACUGGGUAUGGUGGCAUAUGCCUGUAAUUCAGAAGCCUAGCAUUCAGGAGGCUGGGGCAGGCAGGAGGAUCACGAGGUCAAGACUAGUCUGGGUUAUAUAGCAAGGCACAGUGGGGGUGGGGAGAGAGAGAGAGAGAGAGAGAGAGAGAGAGAGAGAGAGAGAGAGAGAGAGAGAGAAAUACCAGAAGCAAGAGACAGAGACAGGGGAUGAGAAAAGGAGGAGGAGAAGGAAGAAGAAGAAGAGGAGGAGGAGGAGGGGCAAGGAAAACAAGAAGAAAAGAAAGACUCUGUAUGAAAACUGAGUGGGGUGGGGGAGGUGUAACCCUUAAGCUGAGCAUCUAGCUCACAAUUCUCUCUGCCACUUGCCAAUAAAGCUUUGGGGAGCUUUGGACA